UGGUCGUGAGUGGGCGCCUUCUCGAACACGUCUCCGUCCAGGGGCCUGUGAUGGAACUCGGGCCAGCGUGGCAGGACAGCAAGGACAUUAUGACUUUCACGAGCCCCUAAAUCUGCCCCUUGCGGUGGAAGGAUCCCUGAAGAAUAUAGUUCAGCUGAGCUUGUUUCUGAACUUCAUUCUAAAGCACUUACUCUGCUCCACGCUGGGUGCUCCAAUGCAGGGCUUGAACUCAUCAACUCUGGGAUCAAGACCCGAGCUGACAUCAGAAGAUGUGCCACCCAGGCGCCCCAACUCCCUUACUCUUUUUAAGGCAGUGGAUUGGAGCAACGCGUUUUCCAGCAUUAAAUUUUGCAUACCUAAGAUUCAACCUUAGACACAAGGUUACAUCCUUUUUAUACGUCACCACUUCCCCUCCGAUUUUUUGAGAACGUGCUUGCAUGUGGGUGUACGUGUGUGCAUGGGCAAGUGGGGGGGGGGGGGGCAAAAGGAGAGGGAGAACCUCUAGCAGGCUCUGUGCUCAGCGUGGGUUAUAGGGCUUGAUCUGCAACCCUGGGAUCAUGACCGGAGCUGGUAUGAAAAGUUGGAUGCUUAACUGACUGAGCCACCCAGAUGCCCCCCUCCCUCAAUUUUAUUUAGGAUUUUCACAUCUAUGGUCACCAGUGAGGCUAGUCUAGAAUUUUCCGGUUUCGUAUUGU